ncrna:unclassified sequences chromate-resist RNA
CGGGGACACCGCAGCCUCCCCGGCAGAUGGUCCCUCAUCCCAGCGCUGC